rnacentral:rRNA from 1 species
AGUGAACGCUGGCGGUAGGCCUAACACAUGCAAGUCGAACGGCAGCACAGUAAGAGCUUGCUCUUACGGGUGGCGAGUGGCGGACGGGUGAGGAAUACAUCGGAAUCUACUUUUUCGUGGGGGCUAAUGUAGGGAAACUUACGCUAAUACCGCAUACGACCUACGGGUGAAAGCAGGGGAUCUUCGGACCUUGCGCGAUUGAAUGAGCCGAUGUCGGAUUAGCUAGUUGGCGGGGUAAAGGCCCACCAAGGCGACGAUCCGUAGCUGGUCUGAGAGGAUGAUCAGCCACACUGGAACUGAGACACGGUCCAGACUCCUACGGGAGGCGGCAGUGGGGAAUAUUGGACGAUGGGCGCAAGCCUGAUCCAGCCAUACCGCGUGGGUGAAGAAGGACUUCGGGUUGUAAAGCCCUUUUGUUGGGAAAGAAAAGCAGCAGGUUAAUACCCCGCUGUUCUGACGGUACCCAAAGAAUAAGCACCGGCUAACUUCGUG